rnacentral:piRNA from 1 species
UGAAGACGUAACUUGUGAGCCUGCA